rnacentral:lncRNA from 1 species
GGGAAGAAUAGGAAGAAUUAGUAGUAGUAGUAGAAGAAGAAUUAGUGGUAGUAGUUGUAGUGGUAAUAAUCUGUUGUCAUCUUGGAUCUAGAUCCUUUUGCGAUGCAGUUUUCUUUUGCUAGUAAGAUGGGUUUAAUUAAGUAGCAUUAUUAUUGGUAACAAUUUCAUCCGGUCUGUUCAAAAACUAAAUAACAGACUUUUCCCUUUGUCGAACUUAGCAGAACUGUUUUGAGACCAGGAAGGCCUAUUUCUUGCACUUUCAUCCAGUCAGCUCAAAAAUAGAACAACAAACUUUCCCCCUUCUUCACAAAAGUUUUUUUUCAAUUGUGGAUGCUUUACACAACUGUUGUGAGACAAAGAAGGCCUAUUGCUUGCGCUAUCAUCUGGUCUAUUAACAAUCUGGGCAACAGACUUUCCCCCUUCCCCACUACCUAUUUCCAACUUGUUACAAGAAGAUAUCUUAAGCAACAUCAAUGUACCAAUUACAAAUUCAACAAUGUGUCUUAGAACAUCGAUAAACAUGACCGUUCUUAUUACAAAUGACACCAAUGCAAACAUAGGCAUAGACCCACAGUCCGUAGAAUGCCACACUCUAACAGGUACAAAUGACACACUCUGACCAUUCUUAUUAUUAAUGACACUUCAUACUACUC